rnacentral:rRNA from 1 species
GCGUGAGGGAAGAAGGUCCUCGGAUUGUAAACCUCUGUCCUCAGGGACGAAAAAAAUGACGGUACCUGAGGAGGAAGCUCCGGCUAACUACGUGCCAGCAGCCGCGGUAAUACGUAGGGAGCAAGCGUUGUCCGGAAUUAUUGGGCGUAAAGGGUGCGUAGGCGGCGAUGCAAGUCAGAUGUGAAAUCCCCGGGCUUAACCCGGGUGGGUCAUUUGAAACUGCAUUGCUUGAGUGCAGGAGAGGAAAGCGGAAUUCCUAGUGUAGCGGUGAAAUGCGU